UACGGUAGGGUGCGAGCGUUGCCCGGAUUUAUUGGGCGUAAAGGGCGCGUAGGCGGCCUGGCGCGUCGGCUGUGAAAUCUCCCGGCUCAACUGGGAGGGACGGCCGAUACGGCUGGGCUUGAGCGAGGUAGGGGAGAGUGGAAUUCCCGGUGUAGUGGUGGAAUGCGUAGAUAUCAGGAGGAACACUGGUGGUGUAGACGGCUUACUGGACCAUAACUGACGCUGAGACACGAAAGCGUGGGUAGCAAACAGG
rnacentral:rRNA from 1 species